GAUGAACGCUAGCGACAGGCCUAACACAUGCAAGUCGAGGGGCAGCACGGUGUAGCAAUACACGGGUGGCGACCGGCGCACGGGUGAGUAACGCGUAUGCAACCUGCCUACUACAAGGGGAUAACCCGUUGAAAGACGGACUAAUACCCUAUAACACAGGGAAUCCGCAUGGAUAUAUUUGUUAAAGAUUUAUCGGUAGUAGAUGGGCAUGCGUUCCAUUAGCUUGUUGGUGAGGUAACGGCUCACCAAGGCAACGAUGGAUAGGGGAACUGAGAGGUUGAUCCCCCACACUGGAACUGAGACACGGUCCAGACUCCUACGGGAGGCAGCAGUGAGGAAUAUUGGUCAAUGGACGAGAGUCUGAACCAGCCAAGUCGCGUGAAGGAGACGGCCCUACGGGUUUAAACUUCUUUUGUAAGGGAAUAAAUAGUCUUACGCGCUAAGACGUUGCAGGUACCUUACGAAUAAGGAUCGGCUAACUCCGUAGCCAGCAGCCGCGGUAAUAGUCACG
rnacentral:rRNA from 1 species